rnacentral:rRNA from 1 species
UACGAUGGGGGCUAGUGUUGCUCGGAAUCACUGGGCGUAAAGCGCACGUAGGCGGAUCCUUAAGUCGGGGGUGAAAUCCUGGAGCUCAACUCCAGAACUGCCUUCGAUACUGAGGAUCUCGAGUCCGGGAGAGGUGAGUGGAACUGCGAGUGUAGAGGUGAAAUUCGUAGAUAUUCGCAAGAACACCAGUGGCGAAGGCGGCUCACUGGCCCGGUACUGACGCUGAGGAGCGAAAGCGUGGGGAGCAAACAGG